GACGAACGCUGGCGGCGUGCUUAACACAUGCAAGUCGAACGGAAAGGCCCUGCGUUUGUGGGGUGCUCGAGUGGCGAACGGGUGAGUAACACGUGAGUAACCUGCCCUUGACUUUGGGAUAACUUCAGGAAACUGGGGCUAAUACCGGAUAGGAGCUCCUGCUGCAUGGUGGGGGUUGGAAAGUUUCGGCGGUUGGGGAUGGACUCGCGGCUUAUCAGCUUGUUGGUGGGGUAGUGGCUUACCAAGGCUUUGACGGGUAGCCGGCCUGAGGGGGUGACCGGCCACAUUGGGACUGAGAUACGGCCCAGACUCCUACGGGAGGCAGCAGUGGGGAAUAUUGCACAAUGGGCGGAAGCCUGAUGCAGCAACGCCGCGUGCGGGAUGACGGCCUUCGGGUUGUAAACCGCUUUCGCCUGUGACGAAGCGUGAGUGACGGUAAUGGGUAAAGAAGCACCGGCUAACUACGUG
rnacentral:rRNA from 1 species